AACUGUUAUGAUGACUUGUUUAAAACAAUGGGAAUCUCUCUGAAAAACAUGAAAGACAAACUGUUUUCUGACGCAGUU
rnacentral:snoRNA from 1 species